rnacentral:rRNA from 1 species
AGAUUGAACGCUGGCGGCAGGCCUAACACAUGCAAGUCGAGCGGUAGAGAGGUGCUUGCACCUCUUGAGAGCGGCGGACGGGUGAGUAAUGCCUAGGAAUCUGCCUAGUGGUGGGGGAUAACGUUCGGAAACGGACGCUAAUACCGCAUACGUCCUACGGGAGAAAGCGGGGGACCUUCGGGCCUCGCGCCAUUAGAUGAGCCUAGGUCGGAUUAGCUAGUUGGUGAGGUAAUGGCUCACCAAGGCGACGAUCCGUAACUGGUCUGAGAGGAUGAUCAGUCACACUAGGAACUGAGACACGGUCCAGACUCCGUACGGGAGCAGCAGUGGGAAUAGUGGACAAGUGGACGAAAGCCUGACUCCGAGCCAUCGCCGCGUGUGUAGAAGGAAGGUCGUUCGGAAUUGUAAAGUCGUAACGUUUAAGGUUA